GACGAACGCUGGCGGCGCGCCUAACACAUGCAAGUCGAACGGAGCUGAGAGAAGCUUGCUUUUCUUAGCUUAGUGGCGAACGGGUGAGUAACGCGUGAGUAACCUGCCCUGGAGUGGGGGACAACAGUUGGAAACGACUGCUAAUACCGCAUAAGCCCACGAUCCGGCAUCGGAUUGAGGGAAAAGGAUUUAUUCGCUUCAGGAUGGACUCGCGUCCAAUUAGCUAGUUGGUGAGGUAACGGCCCACCAAGGCGACGAUUGGUAGCCGGACUGAGAGGUUGAACGGCCACAUUGGGACUGAGACACGGCCCAGACUCCUACGGGAAGCAGCAGUGGGGGAUAUUGCACAAUGGGGGAAAACCUGAUGCAGCGACGCCGCGUGGAGGAAGAAGGUUUUCGGAUUGUAAACUCCUGUCGUUAGGGACGAUAAUGACGGUACCUAACAAGAAAGCACCGGCUAACUACGUG
rnacentral:rRNA from 1 species